GGGGAAUAUUGCACAAUGGGGGAAACCCUGAUGCAGCGACGCCGCGUGAGCGAAGAAGUAUUUCGGUAUGUAAAGCUCUAUCAGCAGGGAAGAAAAUGACGGUACCUGACUAAGAAGCACCGGCUAAAUACGUGCCAGCAGCCGCGGUAAUACGUAUGGUGCAAGCGUUAUCCGGAUUUACUGGGUGUAAAGGGAGCGUAGACGGAUGGGCAAGUCUGAUGUGAAAACCCGGGGCUCAACCCCGGGACUGCAUUGGAAACUGUUCAUCUAGAGUGCUGGAGAGGUAAGUGGAAUUCCUAGUGUAGCGGUGAAAUGCGUAGAUAUUAGGAGGAACACCAGUGGCGAAGGCGGCUUACUGGACAGUAACUGACGUUGAGGCUCGAAAGCGUGGGGAGCAAACAGGAUUAGAUACCCUGGUAGUCCACGCCGUAAACGAUGACUACUAGGUGUCGGGUGGCAAAGCCAUUCGGUGCCGC
rnacentral:rRNA from 1 species